AUGCGCACAACUCACUGGCUUCCUUCUCAAACUGGAAAUCCAAGUCCACAAAGCUGGAGUGGGAAACCACAUUCAUCUGGCCGGCCGCAGAGGCCCAUUGAGAAGGAGCAGAUCUGGGCUGCAGAAGAUGGCAGGAGGCAGGAGAUGCAACUGAAGAGAAGAGGGUCUGACAGCAAGUUGCUGACCCAGCUUCUAGCACAGCUGCCCUCUUCCACAGAAUGGGAAGAAGGAACCUUUUGUGCCUCUCUGUACCAUCAUCCUCAACACUCGAAAACAAGCAAGACCCUUCUAUCUUGGAGAAGUCUGGCCACUUGUUCCGUAGAGGCUGCUGUGGAAGGGAGCCAUUCCAUGUGCCAGGAUGAUUGGAGGGAUGAAAUCCCACCUGGGAAACGAGAGCAACAUGGGGAGUAGGCUACAGCCCUGUCUCAGCCACAUGGCCUUGGGCAUGUCCUUUAGCCUUCUGGCACCUCUCUUUCUCUAUCAAACAAGGGGGCUCUAAAGACUUUCCCUCUUCAGUGACCUUGCCUUUACUUGGAGUGAAUGUUGCGGCCAUGGGAGAGGGGGCAGGCUCCUUGUCCUCACGGGUCUUCCGCCAGGCCCAAGGCCUCCCCCAGCCCUGCUGCCCUGGAGGGCUCCUCCUAGCCCCUGAAAGAAUCUUCCCUUCCCUCUUAAGGAUUGAUCAUGCUCAGAAAUCAGCUGAUUUGGGGGACCAACAUGAAAAACAAAAUCCUACAAAGAAACUCUUUGAUAAGCCCUCCACCUUUACACACACACACACACACACACAUACACACACACAAACACACAUACUCGAUCCCUGACAUGUAAACAUUUUCCCUUCUGUAUGUCAAGCCUAUUUUACCCUUUCUCAUUGCCAGUGUGUUAGGAGAGAAUCCAUUCCCACCACUUCCUUCUGGAGAACUUAGCUAAACCUCAGUGUUUGGGGGUGACCCUGGGCAUAGGUUGAAGCUAAAGGUCCUUACGUACCUCACCGGCGGCCCAUAAAUGCAGACUCUACCAGCCGAGACUGAGGCAGUGACUGGUUAGCACAGUGCCAGGGUCCAGACCCUUCGCUCCUCACUCGUCCACCCCCACUGCCUCCUCCAGCCAUAGAUUCGCUCUUCUGUCAUGGUGGUUGCCUGCUCGAGCCUGCCUGUCUGCCUGCCCAAAGUGCCGUGGAUUGUUCUGUCAUGUACCGUGUAUACAUGUGUCCUGACUCUGUGGUUUACUACAAAUAAACACAAUGGUGGACCGCUGAC
rnacentral:lncRNA from 1 species